AAUCCAUAGGUUAAUGAGGCGAACCGGGGGAACUGAAACAUCUAAGUACCCCGAGGAAAAGAAAUCAACCGAGAUUCCCCCAGUAGCGGCGAGCGAACGGGGAGGAGCCCAGAGCCUGAAUCAGCAUGUGUGUUAGUGGAAGCGUCUGGAAAGGCGCGCGAUACAGGGUGACAGCCCCGUACACAAAAGCGCAUGUGCUGUGAGCUCGAUGAGUAGGGCGGGACACGUGGUAUCCUGUCUGAAUAUGGGGGGACCAUCCUCCAAGGCUAAAUACUCCUGACUGACCGAUAGUGAACCAGUACCGUGAGGGAAAGGCGAAAAGAACCCCGGCGAGGGGAGUGAAAAAGAACCUGAAACCGUGUACGUACAAGCAGUGGGAGCCCCACCACUAAGCCAGUGGUGAACUCCACAUACGCAUCCUUUGCUGAGGAUACGG
rnacentral:rRNA from 1 species